GCUAUUGGAGUUCGAUUAAGCCAUGCGAGUCGAGAGAAAUUAGAUUCUCGGCUUACCGCUCAUUAACACGUGGGUAACCUGCCCUAUGCUGGGAAUAACCUCGGGAAACUGAGUAUAAUGAUCCAUAGUUCACUACCCCUGGAACGGUGAGUGAAUGAAACCUCCGGCGGCUUAGGAUGGGCCUGCGGCUUAUCAGGUAUUAGGGGGUGUAACGUACCCUCUACCCCUCUACCCGUACGGUUGUUGGAAGACAUACCCCGAAAAUGGAUUCUAAAACACAAAUCCAAACCCUACGGGKUGCASCAGGCSCRAAAMCUUGSCAAUGCRAGAAAUCGUGACCAGGRAAYUCCAAKUGCWUCGGGUAARACCGGUKCUUUUCUUGACUCUHMAUAGGUCUUGRAAUAAGGGGUGGGUAAGGACGGUGCCAGCCGCCGCGGUAAUACCGGCGCCUCAAGUGGUAGUCGCUUUUAUUGGGCCUAAAACGUCCGUAGCCGGUUUGAUACAUUCGUGGGUAAAUCAACCAGCUCAACUGGUUGAAUUCUGCGAGCACGGUCAGACUUGGGACCGGGAGAGGUGUGGGGUACGCUCAGGGUAGGGGUAAAAUCCCGUCAUCCUGAGCGGACCACCUGUUGCGAAGGCGCCACACUAGAACGGAUCUGACGGUCAGGGACGAAGCCUAGGGGCACGAACCGGAUUAGAUACCCGGGUAGUCCUAGGUGUAAACGCUGUGGACUUGAUGUUGGGGGUUCUCCGAGCAUUCUCAGUGUCGAAGCGAAGGUGAUAAGUCCACUGCCUGGGAAGUACGGUCGCAAGGCUGAAACUUAAAGGAAUUGGCGGGGGAGCACCGC
rnacentral:rRNA from 1 species